rnacentral:lncRNA from 1 species
GGCUGGGGACGGUCGGAGUCUCGAAUAAAAGUAUCAUUCCCAUCAGUAAAAUAAAUAUAGACAUAUAUUAACACUAUAAAAUCACUAAGUGAUACCAACACCUGGCAGAGACACACACACAAAAAGGAAACUUCAGGCCAAUAUCCUUAAUUAACAUGGAUGCAAAAAUCCUCAACAAAAUAGUGGCAAACUGAAUACAGUAGCAUGUCAAAAAAUGUAUCCACCAUGAUCAAGUAGGAUCCAUCUCCAGGAUGCAAGUUUAGCUCAAUAUACACAAAUCAAUAAAUGUGAUUCAUCACAUAAACAGAACUAAAGACAAAAGCCACAUGAUCAUCUCAGUAGAUGCAGAAAAGGCUAUGGAUAAAAUUCAACAUCCCUUCAUGUUAAAAACUCUCCAUAAACUAGGUGUUGAAGGAAUGUACCUCAAAAUAACAAGAGCCAUGUAUAACAAAUCCACAGCCAACAUUAUACUGAAUGGGCAGAAGCUGGAAGCAUUCCCCUUGAGAACCAGAACAAGACAAGGAUGUCUCACACACUACCAGACAAAAACAAUGCAAAAAUGGAAGUAAAAAGUGGAGAUCUGUGGUAGGCUUAAUAAUUGCCUUCAAAGAUAUCCAGGUCUUAAUGCCUGGAACCUGUGAAUUUUACCUUAUAUGGCAAAAGGGGACUUUGCAAAUGUCAUUAAGGAUCUUGAGAUAGGAAGAUUACCAAGGAUUAUCCAGGAAGACCCUAAAUGUAAUAACAAGUAUUCUUAUAAAAGGGAAACAGAGAGAGAUUUUACUACGGAAGAAGAAGGCAAUGUGAAAACUGAAACAAGAUUCUACACUACAGACUUAGAAGAUGAAGGAAAAGGCCAUGAGCCAAGAAAGGCAAGGAAUGCAAACUCCAGACGAUGGAAAAUGUAAGAAAAUAGAGUCUCUUUUGGACCUCCAGAGGAAGCAAAGCUCUGCCAAUAUCUUUACUUCAGCCUAGUAAAACUAAUUUUGGACUUUGGACUUCCACAACUGUAAGAGAAUUAAUGUGUAUCAUCUUAAGCUAACAAAAUUGUUAUUUGUCA